CCAGCACUCUCUCCUCUCCUAUCCACUCACUGACCACCUCUCGCCCUCUCCCCUCCCCGGCUCCCCCCGCCGCAUCGCCGCGCGCGUCGACGAGCCCGCAACCGCGCGACUCCGCCCGCCGACCACCGAAUCGGUCUCAUGAAUUGGCGGGGCUUGGGACUACGACCAGCUGUGUGCGGCGCGAUCGACGGAGGCGGACGCAGCGAGCUUCCUGACCCGGGCGUGCGUGCUCCUCUCCGGCGAGGUCGCAGGUCGAUCCGACGCGGGGCGGCUCGAUCUGCAAGCGGAGCAGCUCCGGCACGGCCAGGGCGACGACUGCUCCCCGACGCCGCCACCCUCCGCAAGGAGCGACGACAGCUCGAAGCUCUGCGGCACGGCGUGCGCCGAGCGACGCGCCGCGGGGGCGCCGCUGCCUCAGCCACCGGCGUGUCCGACCACCCGUCCACGUCCCCACCGCUGCCGCCGGCCGGCCACACGAUGUCGCUCGUCCCGCUGCUUCAGCCGGCCAAGAAACCGGAACGCCCCCCUUGCCUGGCGACCUCGGCAUCUCCAUCGACCGUCUCAGAAAGCGCUACCUCGCUCGGCUCCCGCAUAGCUGAUGCAAGCCAAGAAACAGGGAGUGCCGGCAGUAGUACUCUGAAUCCAUCAAUGCAGCUGAAUCCAUAAUGCUAAUCAAGAGGUGGUUUUGGCCUAACUGGGAUGUGCUUGAGUCCUGCAUAGCCGUGGAGGAGGAAGUUGCUGCCCUUCUUGAGCAGUUUGCAAAGAUCUUCAGUGAGCAAAGAGGGCAGUGGAAGGCAGCAACCCAAUCCCAGGAGUUCCUUUGAACCCUUCAGCGUUAAUACAAUAAUGCUUACACAGAUCCUGAGAAGCCGGAUGCUAUAAAUGUAUUCUUGGGCCAUUUCCAGUCUCAACAAGGCAAACCUCCUUUUGUGGAAGUUGGACUGAGAUCAGCAUUACAAUGUUGGCCGCCAAGGAACUCUAUGUGAAGAAACUGGAAGGUCCAUAGAGGAUGGUUGAUCUGCAUUAGUGAUAUCACUGAGAGGAUGGCGUGGGACAUUCUGAGGCCUCUCUUCCCAAAUGUCACUUGUCAUGCUAGCUAGUUCUUUUGUCAGAUUACUGAGAGCCGGCAACGAAUCUACAUUAUAUAGGCAUGAGAUUGGAGGGUUGUCUGCAUCAUGUAAACAUAACAAUAUACAGGACCGAUAUAAGGCAAAGUUGUAAGCGCAUGGUGUUAACCUUUCGACACAUGGUGAACAUCGUCGGCUACAGGUAUAACCCCUUCGUAAGAGUCGUCACCAUUUGUCCCCUCCAUUGGGCCUGCAACAUCUCCUGUGAUGGUGUUUGACAUGUAUAACAAAAUAUGUAGCUGAACAUAUACAUGGAGGUAGAUAUAUACCUGGAGUAUCAUAUGUGCUAUCACCAUCGGUCUCAAGUAUCAUCCGUUCGUAGGGAGUAAUAUGGACUCCUACAAGUCACGAUGUUGAUACAUCAGAAUCGGUUGUGCCCAAGUCUGUUAGGUAUGAUUUUUCACAUAAAAAGGAUAAAAUUAAGCCUUAUACCUGGACUACGUGGGUACAUUAUGUCAACAACGUCGGCUACGGGUAUAAUCCCUUCAUUAGAGUCGUCAACACUUGUCCCCUCCGUCGGGCCUGCAACAAAUUCAGUUUCCUGGGUUGGUGUUUGACUUGUGUAGCACAAUUUACAGGUGAACAUAUACCUGGAGGUAUCGGCGAUGGUGUCGUCUGUUCUGUUGGCUUGCUGUGUGGAGUCCCCAUAGGUAACUACUAAAAAAAAGACAUGUCUAACAGACUCAGGUAUCCCGCAAAAACUUGUAAACCGACUCUGCAAGCAGAUAACAUGAAAUACCAACAGUACUAAACGCCCGUUCCCAUGCUACAGAAACUCAGUCCAUAAGGGCAGCUUUGCUAUACAUAUGAAAAUAGAAAGACAUGUCCAACAGACUUUGCUACUUUGCAUUUUUUUGAAAACUGAAUUUGCUGGUUAUAAACAUGAUCGGGGUUGCUUGGUCUGAGUAUUGGAGCCUGUUAACAGGAAAAAUGACUACCACGACUGCAUAUUCCAGCUCUGACCUUCCGUAUUAUGUUAAUCAAAUCUAUUGCUAUUUUCGUUCUCAAGCACAUAACUGUAUUACACAAGAUCUAUUUUUAUUUGCACUUCAUUUGAGUUGAGAAUCCGUUUCUGUUGUAACAAAAUAGCAAUAGAUAUGUCGCAUUCCACUUAUUUUGGAACGUCGGGUAAUUUCAUGUGUACCAUAGGUGCAAAAUGAAUUGUGGCAUGGCUUGAUUUAGUUUCUGUUUGCUUUCAUCCUUUUAUUCGUUUGGUUUAUUCCAGGUCCAUAUAAUUAUGAUGUCUUGGAGGGUAUGACGUUCGACAAUAUUUAUGAAUCCUUCAAUGCUGACUUUGAGGAUGGUACAAUCGGGCAGGUAAUUAUUUUUCCUUUUGUCAUGUGAAGCCCAACACUAUGCUCUUAACCAGGUAUGGAUCUUUGAGAGUAUCCUUCAUGGUGAAUAUGGAGAAGGAAUGAAUAUCGAAGUACUUGUUCUAGCUGAAAGGGUAGACCUGCUCUAACCAAAGGACCUUUAGAUGCUUGACUACAACCAUUGCACUUACUGUUGUGGACCGGUUAUAUAGAUUAACCAAUUAUGCCUGUCAUGUAUAGAUUAACCGAAAGUUGUAUAUGUUCCGCCCAAGUUAUCAUGUAUUACAUUUGUGGACAUUUGUAUAUGUUCUGAUCUGUACACGUAUACAUAACAAACAAAGCAUGUGUGUUCA